rnacentral:rRNA from 1 species
UACGUAGGGUGCGAGCGUUAAUCGGAAUUACUGGGCGUAAAGCGUGCGCAGGCGGUUCGUUAAGUUCGAUGUGAAAGCCCCGGGCUCAACCUGGGAAUUGCAUUGGAAACUGGCGGGCUUGAGUGUGGCAGAGGGGGGUGGAAUUCCACGUGUAGCAGUGAAAUGCGUAGAGAUGUGGAGGAACACCGAUGGCGAAGGCAAUCCCCUGGACCUGUACUGACGCUCAUGCACGAAAGCGUGGGGAGCAAACAGG